CUAGGCAAGCUCUCUACCGCUGAGCUAAAUCCCCAACCCCCUGUGUUAAGUUUUUAAAAAUCAGAAACUGAAAUUAUGUGAUAUCACUAAGAAACAAGUGUAAACCUAAUUUUCAAAUAGCUCCGUGGUAGAACAUGUGAAUGUUUGUACAAGGCUCCAAGUGCAAUGCCACCAGAGUAAGAACUGUGACUGGACUUCAGAAAGUAACGCUGUCUGAGUGAAGUCAGCCCACUCCAGAUCAGCGUCUCCCCAUAGCACGUUCAUGACGCCUGUAGACUGUAGUAAGCCCAAACAUCCUAAUGGCUAAACCACAACUUCUUCCUCAACACUCUAUGUCCAGUAACUCCAGACCUGGAAAAACCUGGGGGAGCAGCAGAGAGGAAGAGUGAGAAGCUGGGCAACAAAGACAAGACGGAGACAACAGCAAGUCUUAAGAUUUUCUCUGUAUUAACAUAUUAAUAGCAAGUUAAUGGGAUUCACUAUGGUAUUUUUAUAUGGACACACCUUGUGUGUCCAUAAUUUCUACCGCUUUUCUUUUCCAUCCCCACUUUCAGUCACCAAUGAUCUUUCUUUCAGUCUCAGGCGUACAUCCCAUCUCACCCCAACUGUUUUCUGAACGCUAACCCAUGAAGAACUAAAGAGCUGAGGACAGAAAGGCAUGGGGCUCCCAGCGCUUAGGAAAUGGAGGCUUGAGGACCAGUUAAAGUUAAAGGCCAUUCUCUGCUACACGGUGACUUUAAGGUAAACGUGAUGCUUCCUGUUUGGCCUACUUCUCUGCAUACAACCCAACCAACAGCCUAGCACCGGUGCCUGGCAUUUCAGACUCUGUCCGACUGGCCAUGGGAAUGCACAUCUGUAAUUCUAGUCCUUGGAAAGAGAAGCAGAAGAAUCACUACAGGUAUAGCACAGCCGAGGGACACUACAUCUUUAAGUCACUUAACGAGCACAGGUGUGACAACUGCCAUCUUCUACAGAACUGAGAAAGCAAGGACACAGCAGCCACAGAAACCCUGCAAUCUCAGCCCUGGAGAUGGAAGCAAAGUGAACAUGUGAGGCCCGCCUGGGUGUAUCAUACCUCGUCC
rnacentral:sRNA from 1 species